AAGUGGCAAACCCUCAUCUCUCUUGCAGUGAGUUGCAUUGGUGCUUGUCCUUGAAGUUUAUUUUCAGAAAGCAAGAAGUCACUUCUAAAAAUGCAUUUUUGGCACAAUUCCACCAACAUUUCUUCAAAACCCUACUGAGAUGCAGUAGGUGCCGAUAACACAGAAACAAAUCAACCACUGGUCGUAAAUUAGUAAGCAUUUUCUGAGCACCUACUACAUGCCAGGAAGAGGACAAAACACUCAGGCCAGUCCAAGGUGAGUAAGACAUGGUCCCUGCCCUCUCAUAGAUAGAAAUUUUCUGGGGAAGACAUGUGUAGAUUACUAAAAACAUUGAAGUAAAAUGAGAAUGUUAUACUAAAGGUACAAACACUGUGUUUGGUGAAUGUUGUGAUAGUAACAGUUUUGAUCACCUUGUGUAGACUCAACUGACCUAAAGCUUUUUGGAACAAUGAUACAUGUCAGCUACAAAGAAGAGCAAUCUCUUUCUUAUUUCUCUCUCUCUCUGUUAAUUAUAAUCAGUAGAAAGGGAUGUUAAUUUCUCUUGGCUGUCCUUGGGACAGUAGAAGUAAGCAGGAGGAGCGGUUGGCUUCAGGGUGAAGGUGGCAUUUGCAGAGCUUUAAUAGAUUAUUAGAAUUCACCAGCAAAACUGGAGAUGACGAGAGAACAGCAUGUGAAAAAACAAAGAGGGGGUGCAAGGCAGGUGUUUUGAGAAAAAAGUUAAAUCCAGUGCUAUUGGAGCACAAAUAUGAACUUCUGAUUAAAUAGCACACUCCAAAAACAUGCUUCCUUGGAGAAGGAGGGGAAAAAUGAAUCAUUCCUCCAUUCCAUUUUCACUGACAACCUCCCCUGAUCAGAAUGUCAAGCAUUCAUGCAGCAUUAAAUAUAUGCUUGUACCGUUCUGUUUUUCAUAUAAACUCCUCACAACACCCUACCACAUACUAUUAUACCAUACAUGUUCAUUAGCUUUUUACAUAUGCAUAGACUGAAAUGCAAAGAAGUUCAAUGGUUUUGUCACACAGCUGUCAUGUAGUAGAGGGAUUUAAAUUCAGGCAUCCUAGUGGUAUGUCCACCCUCAACUGCUGCAUUUUACUGCUAUAUGUAAAGAAGUGUGGCGUGCUCUGGAGACACAGAGGUGGCCAUGGGUAUGGCUUUACCCUGCUCUCUAGAGCUUACAUUCAGGAAGGAGGAGUUAAGCAAAAAUAAGCAUGAAAUUGAACGUCUAUUUCCAAUUAUGAGUUUACUGGAGUGUAAACCAGGGUUGGGGUACUGAAAGGUCAGGACAAACAGUUGUACUUGAGUAGUCAUUCUGUGGCCUGCAGGAUGAGCAGGAGUGAUCCAGGAAGACAGGAUGGAGACUGAGGACAAGCCUCUUCCUAGAGCAGGAAUCAUCCUGUGUGUACGUCUUGGGCAGGCAGAGCAGGCCUCCUUCAAUGGACCAACAGAAAGAAGGCUGGUGAAGUCCGAAGCCAGUUUUGUGGAGUUUUUCUUAUGUCUAAGGUGGUGAGGAGCUUAUGCAACUGGGUUUCAUAAUAGAAGUUUUAAGUGGGCCAGAAUCGUGGUGCUACAGUCAUUUCAUCCGACUUCUCCAGACAGAACAGCCAAUUGCAAAAGGAGAAAUGAGGAACAUAAACUCUCAAUUCCCCUGUCCCAGAGAGAUGCAAUUAUUAUUCCAGGAAAUUGCUGGCAGCUGACAUGUUUUCGAAAAUACAUUGAAUUCUGUUUGCGUGACCCUCAGUCAGUAUACAUUGCAAUAAAAUACUUUGCUGAUAGCUGACUGUCUGAAUUUUUCCCUCUUUCCUUUGAUUGAAGUGUGAGACAGAGCUGACCAAGGUGGAGAGGUGUAUAUGGGGUUGGGUGUGCUGAGAAGAGGUCGUAGUGGGAAUAGAGAGCAGAAUGGGUGCUAAA